GACGGAGGAUGCAAGCGUUAUCCGGAAUUAUUGGGCGUAAAGCGUCCGCAGGUGGCUGUUCAAGUCUGCUGUCAAAGCGCAGAGCUUAACUCUGUACAGGCGGUGGAAACUGAAGAGCUAGAGUAUGGUAGGGGUAGAGGGAAUUCCCGGUGUAGCGGUGAAAUGCGUAGAUAUCGGGAAGAACACCAGUGGCGAAAGCGCUCUACUGGGCCAUAACUGACACUGAUGCGCGACAGCAUGGGGAGCAAACAGG
rnacentral:rRNA from 1 species